UGUUUCUCUGUAUAAGUGUUCAGCUCAAGGGAAGUGCAGGAAGUGUAGCAGCUCAGACACACUCCGGCACUGUCAGACUGUACUUCCUGCAUCCUCAUCCCUUUCUCCCGUUUCCCCUGUCUUUCUCUCCCUGCUCAUUCCAGUGAUCCUUGUUUCAUUCUUUUAGUGUGUUGUCUCUUCGUUUCCUCUCUUCUAUUCUGUUACAUCUAUUUUUCUCUCAAAUCCCCUCUUUGUCAUUCCUCUCUGCAUUUUACUACUUUUUUCUGUCUCUAAAAUCCGCUUUGCCAAAGUUACAAGGGAAAAAAUGGGCUGUGGAAAUUCCACUGCUGCCACCACGGCUGCAGAUCCAGCUGAGUCAGCUAAAGAUGUGUGAGUACUACCGAAACACCCCCUUACACAAAUGUUACCAUGGUAACCAUAUCUAGCAAAUAGAUAGUUGAAGUACUACAUCUAUAGUGGCCACUAAAAGAACAUACAUUUGACUAAAUGACCAAGAUUCUGAAAGCUUGUUAUUCUGACGGAGAUAUUAUUUAUUAUUUAUCAUGGUUUUGUAGCAGUAAUGGUUACUAAUAAUAUUGAGGCGUAAACUGUGGUUACCAUGGUAAUUAUGGUAAUAAUAAAGGGAUAACAUGGUUAUUUUUUUUGUUUUUCUGAAAUCACAAAACAUUUUCAAAGGCUUUGACAUUAGAGAAAGAGGAUGAGAUAAAUAAGUAUACAAGCAAUUUUCGCAGUGUCCUUCAGUUUUUGGAACAGUUUGUCAAUCAGAUUCAGAAAGAAAGAAAAAAACUUGAGUUUGAACACGGUCAUUUCCCAAAGAGUUCCUGGAAUUAUUUUUCUACACAUGAACAACAAGCACCCUCUCAGCAGGAAAGAGCCUUGUACACGGAUAUCAGGGCCCUGCCUGCCACUGAAAAACACACAUUUAGCACAAUAAAAUGCCAUCCCUGCAGUUAUGUGGUACAUUAAGUGUCUCUCUUCAAAACUGUGGCACUUAUCAAUACUGAAAAUGCGAUGACAAAUUUGAUAAUGCAGAUUUCACACCUGUAAAUCAAAAAUCUCUUUUAGAUGGUAUCUCCAAACGAAUGACAAUUUGACACAAGACCCUCGACACUUUGAUAAAGUUAAACAAAUAAAUUGCCAAAGGUAGGAGGUAUUAAUGCUUCAGUCGUUCAAUCCACAAAACUGCCUCUUGACUCAUUCAUUCUCAACAGGGGAGUAAAGGAAUACAAGUAACGGGAUUACAUAUUUAAAAUACAAAAUAUAAGUAACUGUGUUCCACUACAGUUACAAUUUAAAUCAUAGAUAAUUAGAAUACAGUUACAUUAAAAAAAAAUUUUGAUUACUGAAGAAAUUACUUUUUAUUUUAUUGUCAUUUGUUUGAUUUAAUAUUUAGUCCUUUCAGGUGGAAAACAUUUAUAAAUAUAAAUUAUGUGAUUUAAAAGUGCAUUUGAACAGCGGUGAAACACUUUCUUAUGAUGUGUUACAUUCAUACGAGCAGACAGAGAAGUUAGUUUGAAGUAAGUUUGGAGCAGAAUAAAUAGAAAUAAUCCUUGAGUAACUUGUCAGUUUUACACUAAGCUAAAAUGCUAUUUCUAGGCAUUUUACAUGCACAUGUUACCAGAUAUGAUCAUAUUUUUUUAUCAAGAAAAUUCACAUUGGAUCGUUCACAUUGGUCUUACUGUACUGACAGAGUUUUUAUAUUCAAAACAAGUGAAAAAAUCCACCAGUGCUGAAGAAGUAAUCCAAAGUAUUUUGAAUACAUUACUGACCUUGAGUAAUCUAAAGGAAUGUGUUACAAAUGACAUUUUAUAGCAUGUAUUCUGUAAUCUGUAGUGAAAUACAUUUCAAAAGUAACCCUCCCAACCCUGAUUCUCAAAUAGGUUGCUAAAAGAUUUGUUUUUUUUGCCUUUUACAUCAGUCGUCGGAUCAGCUCUUGUUUCUUUUCUGGUUCUGAGUCCACAGGCAAGACGAUUCGUCUCCAGAUAAUGAGAAGAGAAUGAACUAUGGUGGUGUGUAUGUAGGUUUACCUGCAGACCUCAGUAACGUGGCCAUUGGCCAGAAACCCUCUACACAGACAGAAUAAUGAUAUUCAGAGCUGAAAGCACAGAUGAAGCGCUGUCCGGAGGGAAUCUUGGCUCUAAAGUGCUGUGUAAUAAUCUCAGCAGGACGGAACCUUCAUCAUUGUUGAUUGGCUCAUUGGGAUAUGAUGGAACCCUCAGAGAUCCAAUUAUCUAAUUUAACUCUCUGGAGACUGAACUGGAUUUAGUUCUGCUGAUAAUGUCAGAGGUCAGAUUAAAAAAAAAUGCACAGUCAGCAUAUUUAAUAAGGGUAAUUGCUACCAGCACCUUGUUCCUCAGGCAGCUUACUAAACCACAUGUGUAAAUGACAAUCACAGUGCCACAAAAAAAAAAAAAAAAGGCGUUUGUGUCUUUUAGUGGCCAUAAUCGUGGAACACUGUGCACUUUUUGGUCAGCUCUUGGAAGUCAAACCUCAAGGUCUUAUGACCUUCUCACUGUUACUCUCUACAUGAUACAUGUCAAGUAUGGGGUGUCACGAAGGCCUUACUGUUUCAAAGGGAUAAAAGGGACUCAAGAUUGGACUCUGUCCAAUCUUGAGUGUUUUGGUUCACUCACCCCUUUCAAAGUGAUCCAAAAUCUAUCAAAAUUAAACAAACUCCUUUUAAAUACUCUUCUCUGAUCUAAACAGGGAGGUAUAUUAUGUAUAAAACAGAAUCCAUUUGAUGUUUUCAAACACACAUGCAUGAGCACUAAAGUGGUAUUUCAAGUACUGUACCUUUAAAAGUGUGUGUUGUUGUAUUGAUGGAUUAGAUUGCUACUUUCAAGCCAUGUACUCUGUUGUGUAGUGGUGAAAACUGUUUAAGAUUGUGUUUUAGGUCCUUUAAUUUCUUUGGUCCAAUUAGAAUGACCUCCUGAAGAACGGCACAUUUUUUUUAAAUGAGUGUAUCUCUAGCACGCCUGACCUUGGAAGAGAACAUCAAGGACUGUGUAAGUAGGCCAGCACUCACACUUUUAAGCAUCAGGUCAGCUGGAUCAAGACUUAGGGGAAGAAAAAUGGAGAGUUACAAAAAGAGACAGCGUGAGCCACAGUUUGUCUCAGCAGGGACAAAAUGAGAGACCAAUUUGUGUGGCAUGGAAUGAUGCCAGCUGACAUCGCAGGUUCUAGAUGAACUCCCAUGACAUUUAUUCUCUCUUUAUCAAAACAGACCUCUCACUCUCACUCUCUUCUGUAUGGACCUCUUGUCAAUCAGUACAGACUUUCAGUACAAUGUAAAUGUGUUUAACUAACUGUAAGAGAAAGUAUAAAUUGAGCAGUUGUGUGGCAUUUUUUUGGGCAAGGAUUCAAUUAUUUUUCUAAAAUUGGAAGACACGCACCCCUGCUCAAACUCAACCAUUCUGGAGUGUGUCAAUGCUCUAUCUCACAUCACAGGUGACAUAUUCUAAAAAUGUGUGUAGUUCUCAGGAACAGCUCUCACCAGCAACAACUUCAUAUGUACAGCAGAAGUUCUACUCUAAGCAGUUGUCUCUCAUCCUGGCUAAAUUACUCACUUUUGCCACCAGCAAUUCACCUCGACUGCCCGUAUAAAUGUAAAAUGGGUGGGACAUCCUAAGCCUUGUUCACACAAGCAGUGACAUAACCGCUUAAUGUCGCUGGUCCUUGUACUCUUUUGUACAGUAUGUCUCUAGCAGUUCUGGGUAAGUAACCAAAAAAGUAAUCUACUAAAAAUGACCAACUACUUCUUUAAAAUAAUAAUCUGUUUACUUUACUAAUUACUACAUGGAAAAGUAAUUACAUUACAUAAACUUUACUUUUAAGUUACUUUCUAAAACACUUCUGUUUUUCCACUCAAAACAAUUCAAAAUUAUGUUUUUAUUUCCUCGUUCUAUGUCGCACACACUUCAGCUGUCCAAAAAAUGCAAACAGACAUUCAUAUGAACAUAUGAAUUCAUAUUAUAAAUGUAUUUUACAAAUUACAAAAAAAUGUGUAAACCAAGUAAUGUACUUGAAAGUAAUUAUCUUCAUUGAAAGUCAGUAACUGUACUCUGAUUACAAGUUCUUAAAAUGUGAUGUGUUACACUUCUUUUUUUGUAUAAAAAGCAAGUAGAUUACAGUAACUAAUUACUUUAUCAGAUUACACCCAACACUGGUCAAAUGUAAGCAUUGCUGUCACACUUAAGUUAUUGGUGGACUGCAUGUCUCACCAUAUAUUUUACAAAUCGGAUCAUAGAUGAGACAUAUUGCAGGUAAAAUUAAGAUAUUCUAAUUUGACAAGGAAUCGGUUAUCUUGUUGCUUAAAAUGAACAUUCUGCAUGGGAAGAGUGUUUUUAUAUGAACUGCAGCAGUGCUCAUUGGAUCGUAUCAUUAACAAGAUGAAUAAUCUUACAAUAUACAAAUCAAACUUACUCAGAAUUCUGACAGUUUCUUUUCCACAAAUAUUUUUUUAUUAUAUCCAUGCAUGUGGUUAAAGACAAAUCAUCUAGAACAGUGAAAUCUCUCACUGAAAUGUUAACUUCUCAUCCGCCUUGCCUGCACUCCAUUAUCACACAUGAGACAGAUGACGUGAGCUCCACUGGCACGUCUUCUCGCUGUCGCUCAUGUUACUGGAUGUCAACAGCUUUCACUGAAAAUGAAUGAGAUCAUGUCGCUUAGUUGCUGUAAGUCGCUGCAUGUGUGAACAUGGCUUGAAUUGACCUAUGAAAGAUGGGAGGGGCUUCAAGGAAAACUGUUUGAAAAGAGUAAUUACUUUUGAAAUUCCAUUUCGAGCCACAUGGGGCAGUGAAAUUACACACUUCACCAAACCUUUUUCAAUAAAACUUAAAAAAAAUAUAUAUAUAUAUAUUUGUCAAAUUGUAUCACCUUAUGAGGGCAUCCCACAUUAUUUAAAAAUGUUGGUGGUAGUAAAAAUACUCUUGCAAAUUAAUACUUUAAGGAAACGUUUGUCAUUCAGAUGUCUGCAGCUGUGAAUAAAAGCAUUCAAUAUAGUCUUGAAUGGAUUUGAACAAUUUGAUGCCAAAUGGCAUUUUAAAACUCCAUGAUGGUCAGUUAUGCACUCAGGAAUAUAGAAACCAAUUCUGAAAUCAUAUUGAUUGUAAACUGCUCCUUUGAAGCCAGUCAGAGAAGCAGUCUAGAAAUUACUCAACCUGAUCUACUGUAGUCAUGUUUUUCCCAUUAGACCAGGUAGAAAUUGUAAUAUUACAAAAUGCUUUCAGAUCUUUCAUUUACUUUAAUAUUAGGCAUUAAUAAGAUGAAUACGUUCUAUGCUAUUGUAUUGAAUUGUAUACACUAAUUCCAUGUUUUACAAUCAAUCUCUUCAACUAAU